GCUGCCUUGACCUCAGUGGGAGAGGAUGAGCCUAGUCUCACAAAGACUUGAUGUGUCAGAGUGGGGAGAUAACUGGGGGUGGGGGGAAGUGUUCAGGAGAGAAGGGGAGGGGUGACUGGGAGGUGUGGAAUGAGUGGGAUGUAGAGUGGAACAUUAAUUAAUUAAUUAAAAUAAAAUAAAAUAAAAAACAAAAAAGGUGCCAUCAAGCCAAGCAGUGGUGGCACACACCUUUAAUUCCAGCAUUCAUGAGGCAGAGGCAGGGGAUCUCUGGGAGUUUGAGGCCAACCUACCUGAUCAACAGAGUGAGUUCCAGGAUGGCCAGGGCUAAAUAGACGCUAUCUCAAAAAAGAAAAAAAAAAAAAGAAAGAAAGAAAAGAGACGGAAAAGGAAAAAGAAAAAAGAAAAGAAAGAAAAAAAGAAAAGAAAGAAAAAAGAAAAGAAAGAAAAAAGAAAAAAUUUACCAAUUACCGGGUUUUAAGGCAUCAGAGUCAUGACACAUACUUUUGAACUGACAUGAGAAGGCCAUUUUUAAGUGAACAGUAGUAAUUAGUUUGCCACCACCCUUUGAAUAUUAAAGAGGCUUUUAUGUGUAUAGCUGAAUUAUACCAUGUUGCUUUGACUGAACAGUAUUUCAUCAAAGGGACAGUCAUCAAGAAACAUAAAGGCCUUGGGACACAAACACUGACAUUAAGGCCAGCAAGGGCCCUUUGCGCGGAAGUUUCACAUUGUUCUCAGUAUGGGCCCAGUAGCCCCGCAGAAAAGAAGCAAAAUCAAACACCUAAACUGAACAAACCUUUCCAGACUGAGCCUGACCACAAACAACUCCGCCCAUUUUCAGUUCUUACAUUCCUACCUAAGCCCGUCAAUAAACAACUAGGUAAGCAACAAAAGCUAUCCAUGGCGAAGCAACUUUAAAGCCACUGAUUGGUUCAGUGGUUUGCAAGGCUACAGAUGUUCUUAGUUCCUGCUGCUGUGAAACCAGACAAAGGGGAAGUAGGUAGGCGGUAAAUACAUCAAUCCUACGCAUGUUUUGAGUCUUGACAGGCGGCAGCAAAUCGGAGUCUUCCUCAUAGCUGAGCACUUGAGAGGAACUGUUGGCUGAUCUGUUUUUACUAGCCAUUCUCACCUUACAAAGGAAGAAACUGAAUUUAAGGAAAGAACAUGAGUGAGCGCUAGUCCAGGCAGGAACCACCUUGCUUUCCUCUGAAGCUCCCUUCCUAGAAAGGUCAG
rnacentral:lncRNA from 1 species